UACGUAGGUGACAAGCGUUGUCCGGAUUUACUGGGCGUAAAGAGCGCGCAGGCGGUCGUUCAAGUCGGGUGUGAAAGCCCCCGGCUCAACUGGGGAGGGUCACUCGAUACUGAUCGACUCGAAGGCAGGAGAGGGAAGUGGAAUUCCCGGUGUAGUGGUGAAAUGCGUAGAUAUCGUAAGGAAGACCAGUGGCGAAGGCGGGUCUCUGGACAGUUCCUGACGCUGAGGCACGAAGGCCAGGGGAGCAAACGGG
rnacentral:rRNA from 1 species